GCACCGGAACGCCGCGGCCGGCGCUCCGUCCAUCCGGCCCGUGGGCUGUGGGGCUCCGGGCGGCGGCGGCGGCUAUGUAGCUGCCGCCGGCCUUGGCCUUGGCCGUGGCCGGGCGGGCGGAUAUGUGGCUUAAAUGGCGCAGGCGUCGGGGCCUAGAGGCUGAAGGGCUGGUCGUCCUAAAAACUAGUGGACGUCGUGCACGGUUACCCGGACGCAGGCCCGCCCCUUCGGGGAACCGCGAGCUCCUCGCAGCUGGUUGGGGACCGUCCUCGCAGUGGCGGCCUCCACCCUGGCUUCUCGCUUAGCCAAGGCUUCUGGAAGGCUCGCAAAGUGUCUGUUGUUGGAAGAAGCCGGGCCCUGACUGGCGCGACGGAUUCGCCCAGCCGCUCAGCAGAGCGUCUGUAGAAUAUGCUUUUUGUCUAAUGAUGUUAGAUAAAAAGCAAAUUGGAGCAGUUUUCUUAUUCGAGUUCAAAAUGGGUCAUAAAGCAGCGAAGACAACUCAAAACAUCAGUAACACAUUUGGCCCAGGAACUGCUAACAAACAUACAGUGCAGUGGUGGCUUAAGAAGUUUUGCAAAGAAGAGAGCCUUGAAGGUGAGGAACGUGAUAUGGGCUAUGGGAAGUUGACAACGACCAAUUGAGAGCAAUCAUUGAACUACAUGAAAAAUUACAGAAGAACUCAGCGUUGACUAUUCUACGGUCAUUAGGGUCGUUCAGCAUUUGAAGCAAAUUGGAAAAACUAUCAUUUUGAAGUGUAGUCUUCUUUUAUCCUAUGCAACAACAAACCAUUUCUCAAUCGGAUUGUGACAUGUAAUGAAAAGUGGAUUUUAUACAACAACCAGCUCAGUGGUUGGACCAAGAGGCAGCUCCAUAGCAGUUCCCAAAGCCAAACUUGCACCAAAAAAAGGUCACGGUCACUGUUUGGUGGUCUGCUGCCCAUCUGAUCCACUACAGUUUUCUGAAUCCUGGCGAAACCAUUACAUCUGAGAAGUAUGCUCAGCAAAUUGAUAAGAUGCACCAAAAACUGCAAUGCCUGCAGCCGGCAUUGGUCAACAGAAAGGGCCCAAUUCUUCUCCACGACAACACCUGACUGCAUGUCGCACAACCAGGGCUUCAAAAGUUGAAGGAAUUGGGCUACGAAGUUUUGCCUCAUCCAUCAUAUUCACCUGACCUUUCGCCAACUGACUACCACUUCUAGCAUCUUGACAACUUUUUGCAGGGAAAACACUUCAGCGGGAUGCAGAAAAUGCUUUCCAAGAGUUCGUCAAAUCCUGAAGCACGGAUUUUUAUGCUACAGGAAUAAACAUUUCUCAUUAGCAAAAAUGUGUUGAUUGUAAUGGUUCCCGUUUUGAUUAAUAUAAUGUGUUUUAGCUAGUUACAAUGAUUUAAAAUUUGCAGUCUGGAAAUUUAACUUUUGCUCCAACUUAAUAUUUCUAUGGUAAAUCCUUGCAAACAUGGAAACAAUGCAUUUGGCCCA
rnacentral:antisense_RNA from 1 species